rnacentral:misc_RNA from 1 species
CGCCUUGACCAGAUCGCUCUCGAAGCGGUCGUCGAGCAUGUCACCGGCGGACCGGGUGAACAGGUCGAGCAGGGUGCGCUGGCUCUCCAGCGUCAGCCCGCGCAGGAUGUUGGCGGUGCCGACCGCAUUGAAGGCUUCGCGGAUCGCGUGUACGCCGAAACCCUCGACUAAAUUCGGGGGCGCGCGCAGCACGAAGNGCGCAGCACGUCGGCAAUGGUUUCCAACUCGCGGUUGAACUCGUCAAUCUGCAACGCGUCU